rnacentral:rRNA from 1 species
UCGAGAAUUUUUCUCAAUGGGGGCAACCCUGAAGGAGCGACGCCGCGUGGAGGAUGAAGGUCUUCGGAUUGUAAACUCCUGUCAUUAGAGAACAAUUGUCGCCGAUUAACUACCGGCGGCUUGAUAGUACCUGAAGAGGAAGAGACGGCUAACUCUGUGCCAGCAGCCGCGGUAAUACAGAGGUCUCAAGCGUUGUUCGGAUUCAUUGGGCGUAAAGGGUGCGUAGGUGGCGAGGCAAGUCAGAUGUGAAAUCCCGGGGCUCAACCCCGGAACUGCAUUUGAAACUGCCUUGCUCGAGUACUGGAGAGGAGACUGGAAUUUACGGUGUAGCAGUGAAAUGCGUAGAUAUCGUAAGGAAGACCAGUGGCGAAGGCGAGUCUCUGGACAGUUACUGACACUGAGGCACGAAGGCCAGGGGAGCAAACGG